GGAUCAAUUUGCUGGUCGUGCCUCUGGUACGUACUGGUAUUAUUGGUUUCUCCCUUCUGACGAACCAUGAUGUUAUUAAUUUAGCGUGGUGGGAAACUAGGACCUUUACCUUGAAAAAAUUAGAGUGUUCAAAGCAGGCUUACGUCUGAAUACAUUAGCAUGGAAUAAUAGAAUAGGACGGUGGUCCUGUUUUGUUGGUUUCUGAAUCACCGUA
rnacentral:rRNA from 1 species